rnacentral:rRNA from 1 species
GACGAACGCUGGCGGCGUGCCUAAUACAUGCAAGUCGAACGCUUCUUUCCUCCCGAGUGCUUGCACUCAAUUGGAAAGAGGAGGGGCGGACGGGGGAGUAACACGUGGGUAACCUACCCAUCAGAGGGGGAUAACACUUGGAAACAGGUGCUAAUACCGCAUAACAGUUUAUGCCGCAUGGCAUAAGAGUGAAAGGCGCUCUCGGGUGUCGCUGAUGGAUGGACCCGCGGUGCAUUAGCUAGUUGGUGAGGUAACGGCCCACCAAGGCGACGAUGCAUAGCCGGCCUGAGAGGGUGAUCGGCCACACUGGAACUGAGACACGGCCCAGACUCCUACGGGAGGCAGCAGUAGGGAAUCUUCGGCAAUGGACGAAAGUCUGACCGAGCAACGCCGCGUGAGUGAAGAAGGUUUUCGGAUCGUAAAACUCUGUUGUUAGAGAAGAACAAGGACGUUAGUAACUGAACGUCUCCUGACGGUACCUAACCAGAAAGCCACGGCUAACUACGUG